UGACUGGUGUUGAGGACCAACACCAGCAGAUGACAUGCCCCUCCAAACCAUCACAGACUUCAGAAACUUCACUCUGGACUUCGAACACCUUGGUCUCUGUGCCUCUCCUCUCUCUUCCUCCAGACUCUAGGACCUUGAUUUAGGAAUGCAAUACUAACUUUCAUCUGAAAAGAGGAAUUUGGACCACUGAGCAGCAGUCCAGUUCUUUCUAUGCCCAGAGUGUCAGCUUCUCUCUCAGUCGGUUCACGUCAAAGUUCAGCACCUGUGAAGAGAAAAGAUUGAUGAAGAUGAUGCAGGGCUGCUGAACGAUUGCUGACACAACAUUUCAGAUACCUGAGAAGG